rnacentral:tRNA from 1 species
AGCCCCGUGGUGUAGUGGUCAAGCAUUCCGGGCUUUGGCCCCGGAAACCAAGGUUCGAAUCCUUGCGGGGCUACCA